rnacentral:tRNA from 1 species
GGAGGGGUCGCCUAGUGGUCUAUGGCGCUCGCUUGGAAAGCGAGUUUCGGAGCAAUCCGAUCGAGGGUUCAAAUCCCUCUCCCUCCGCCA